GUGAGGAAUAUUGCGCAAUGGAGGCAACUCUGACGCAGCCAUGCCGCGUGCAGGAAGAAGGCGCUACGCGUUGUAAACUGCUUUUAACCGGGAAGAAACCCCAGGACGUGUCCUGGGUUGACGGUACCGGAGGAAUAAGCACCGGCUAACUUCGUGCCAGCAGCCGCGGUAAUACGAAGGGUGCAAGCGUUAUCCGGAUUCAUUGGGUUUAAAGGAUGCGUAGGCGGAGCGUUAAGUCAGUGGUGAAAUCCUGCAGCUUAACUGUAGACUUGCCAUUGAUACUGGCGCUCUUGAGUGCGCUUGAAGUGGGCGGAAUGUGCCGUGUAGCGGUGAAAUGCUUAGAUAUGGCACAGAACACCAAUUGCGAAGGCAGCUCACUAAGGCGAUACUGACGCUGAGGCACGAAAGCGUGGGGAUCGAACAGGAUUAGAUACCCCAGUAGUCC
rnacentral:rRNA from 1 species